rnacentral:lncRNA from 1 species
GUGAUCCCUUAAGUCAUGGCAACCUUCUCCAGUUGCCAUUAAUUCGACACCCUGACAACUUAAAGACAACAGCAGCACAUCAGAUCUAAAAGGAAUUGUGUCUAAUUUUCUCUGCUAAUGCAUUGUAUCUGCAGAACUGAUACUAAAGGCUGGAUCCAGAAGCUGAGAGAGUGCAGAACGUUUGGGGCACACCCUACACCAGGAGCAAGGUAGUCUACAAAUCAUUUCAUCAUUAAUCUAGAGGAAAGUGGGGAAGGUGGAGAAGGGGAUAAAAUGAUGGGUCUGCUGUUCAUCCUACACCCUACAUCAUAAUAUUCCAAGCCUUCAGAGACAGAUUUUGUUGGCUCUAAGUUCAGAAUUCAACACUGAUACAAAGAAGGACUUUAUAUCAUCAAGAAUCUUAGUUUAUGUGUUUGGAGUGGCUUGCGUUGUUUUCAUUCAGGAUGGAGAAGAGAGGAAAAAGAAUAUAAGGAAGGAGACACUGAAAGCAGGUUAUGCCUUGACUCAGGGUGAAGCUAAGGAAUACUUGCUGGGUUGAUCUAACAGAUAUGGUCAUGCAUAAUAUUCCUACAAAUGCCAGAGACUAAGGGCCAUGCCUACUACAAUCAGUACUAAUAAAUGCCUUUUACCUCCUAACCA